GUUUUUUCAAAAACAAAAGAGUAUUUUUCAUAAUCUCGUGUAAGAAGCUAAACGAGAAAAUAAAAAAAUCUUGAUUUUUUCGGCGGUUGGUUCACAGUCCGGCGAGGAGACUUCACCGCAAAAUGAAUUGCGAAGUUCUUCAUGCUGCUACUACAUCUGAACUGAGUUUGCUCUGUAAAACUGUGAUCUGUUAAAUUUAUGGCAUGAGGCUUAAUAUAGCCAUCCUUAAACCUAGUUCUAGUAUGUUUGCCUUUCAUCUCUCCUUGUAUAUUGCUCAUAUGCGCACGAUUUCUUCAGAUGUUUGUAGUUUGGACCGUUUCUCUGUGCAGGAUCUAUGCAGCUGUCCAUCCAUUGCGCUGUUCAUUUUCAGACCUUCAAAGGUUUCAAUCGACGUACACAAGGGAAAACUGAAGCAAAUUGUUGGGUGUACUUUUUGGGACUUAUAUGAGGCUGGAUCAACACUCAUAACCAACUUUGAAUCAGAUAGGAAUUGAUGAGGAGCUUUUCUAGCAUUGUUUGGGAAGCACUCGGUUGGAUCAGGAAUAGGAAGCUUUAAUACGAGGAACUCAAUAUUUUCUUAGGAAUCAUAGCUUGCGGCUUGUUCAGGAUCACAGCUCCUAAUGAUGGAACUGAGUUUUCAUAUGGCAUUCCAUUAUGGCGACUUGUUGAUUUGUUGUGGUAUGGGUGUCAGAUUCUGGUGACUUAUGCUGGUGGUGUCACAGCAAUGGUGGAUUUAAAGAUGAUUAAAGUGGUGGGAAAUGGAUAUGAUGUUACUGUUGGAGCGUUUUGGAUAUCUUUCAGAGCAGCAAGAGGCCUUGCUUGUGUAGUCCUGUGCCUUCAAUUGUUCUGUACUCUAUGGCUAUUGUCACCAAAUUUUAGCUUUCAUAAUGGCUGGUGAUAUGGUUUCAACACGAUUUCUCCUCUUUUUUA